CUUUAUUUAUUUACAGAACAAGUAUAGCACAGGCAGAAGCAAAACAAACUUCCCUCACAUUGCACUGCCACUGGGCCUCAACUCUGAUCUGCAGAGACCACCUCUAGAGGUUACAGAG
rnacentral:sRNA from 1 species